AGCAGCCGCGGUAAUUCCAGCUCCAAUAGCGUAUAUUAAAGUUGUUGCAGUUAAAAAGCUCGUAGUUGAAUUUCGGGAUUGACGUGAUGGUCAUGCCUUAAGGGGUAUGAACUGUUACUGUUGAUUUCUCACCUUCUGGAGAAACUUGAUGUCCUUUAUUGGGUGUCUUGCGGAUCCAGGACCUUUACCUUGAAAAAUUAGAGUGUUUAAAGCAGGCAUUUUUGCUCGAAUACAUUAGCAUGGAAUAAUAGAAUAGGACGGCAUGGUUCUAUUUUGUUGGUUUCUAGGAUCACCGUAAUGAUUAAUAGGGAUAGUUGGGGGCAUUAGUAUUCAAUUGUCAGAGGUGAAAUUCUUGGAUUUAUUGAAGACUAACUACUGCGAAAGCAUUUGCCAAGGAUGUUUUCAUUAAUCAAGAACGAAAGUUAGGGGAUCGAAGACGAUCAGAUACCGUCGUAGUCUUAACCAUAAACUAUGCCGACUAGGAAUCAGACGACGUUAAUUUUUA
rnacentral:rRNA from 1 species